GAUGAACGCUGGCGGCGUGCCUAAUACAUGCAAGUCGAACGCUGAAGGAGGAGCUUGCUCUUCUGGAUGAGUUGCGAACGGGUGAGUAACGCGUAGGGAACCUGCCUGGUAGCGGGGGAUAACUAUUGGAAACGAUAGCUAAUACCGCAUGACAACAGUUAUUGCAUGAUAACUGUUUAAAAGGGGCAACUGCUCCACUACCAGAUGGACCUGCGUUGUAUUAGCUAGUUGGUGAGGUAACGGCUCACCAAGGCGACGAUACAUAGCCGACCUGAGAGGGUGAUCGGCCAACAUGGGACUGAGACACGGCCCAGACUCCUACGGGAGGCAGCAGUAGGGAAUCUUCGGCAAUGGACGGAAGUCUGACCGAGCAACGCCGCGGGAGGGAAGAAGGGUUUCGGGUCGUAAAGCUCUGUUGUAAGAGAAGAACGAGUGUGAGAGUGGAAAGUUCACGUUGUGACGGUAUCUUACCAGAAAGGGACGGCUAACUACGUG
rnacentral:rRNA from 1 species